AACUAAAGAUUUUAUUGUUACAGUUUCUGUACUAUAUUG
rnacentral:misc_RNA from 1 species